rnacentral:rRNA from 1 species
UGAAGCCCUUCGGGGUGUAAAGCUCUUUCGACGGGAACGAUAAUGACGGUACCUGCAGAAAAAGCGCCGGCUAACUACGUGCCAGCAGCCGCGGUAAUACGUAGGGCGCGAGCGUUAUCCGGAAUUAUUGGGCGUAAAGAGCUCGUAGGCGGUUUGUCGCGUCUGCUGUGAAAACUGGAGGCUCAACCUCCAGCCUGCAGUGGGUACGGGCAGACUCGAGUGCGGUAGGGGAGAUUGGAAUUCCUGGUGUAGCGGUGGAAUGCGUAGAUAUCAGGAGGAACACCGAUGGCGAAGGCAGAUCUCUGGGCCGUAACUGACGCUGAGGAGCGAAAGCAUGGGGAGCGAACAGGAUUAGAUACCCUGGUAGUCCAUGCCGUAAACGUUGGGAACUAGAUGUAGGGACCAUUCCACGGUUUCUGUGUCGCAGCUAACGCAUUAAGUUCCCCGCCUGGGGAGUACGGCCGCAAGGCUA